GACAGCUCUGCAAACGUAUUUUCCUUUGUCUAGUUUCUAUAACCCCAGGCUAGACAGCGAUUAGAGGUUCCUCAUUGGAGGAGAUCCAUGCGGUACACAUGCUCACACACUCAGACACAUCCUACCCACCCCAGUGCUAAGCCAUUGCCUUCUUAGAAAAUUCCACCAAAAUCUCAUGCGUUGCUGAACCUGGCGCGCUCCAGCACCAGGAGACCUUAACUGGCGGACGAGUUGAACCUGUCUCCUAUUACCAAUUCUUUUCAGUAUUAUAUACAAUUCCCCAAUUACUUUUGGUUGUUGUAUACCUAUGAGCAAUUGACAGAACAAGUCGGUUAUCUUUGUGUCAGAAGUUCACUAGAACGCAUGUUAACCAAACACCCUGCCCCUCCCCCUAGUACCCUCCCCCACCCCUCAUUAUCUACCAAACACAUCAUAAGCCCAUGGAGUCUCACAAGCGUCCCGUGCAUAGUACAAAGAUGGCACCAGGAUUCCGUAAAAGCUCAGCAACCACCAUAGCAGCAGUGACUGUUCUGGUUCCAAAUGAAAGUCUUCACGGGUGGCAGCGAGCCCCUCCAGGCACGCACACUUCCUCUUUCUGCCACCGUGACUCUGUGGUUGUUGUCCGCCCAUCCAUUUCAAGUCUCUUCCUUCCACAGUAGCUUUCUUGCAACCUUCCUCAUCCAAAGGAAGAUAUUGUCCAGAGUCCGCCAUCCCUAGGUCUGGCGGUUGCUUUGCAGACUCAGACACACUCGCCGUUGUCACCCGCCUGAUUCUUGCUCUUCACACACCCGUGGGCGACUCCAGGCCUUGAGUGCGUUUUGACUUGGGGGACAUUUUUCAAGCGUUCAUUGACAAGCUGCUUACGAAGCUGAGGGAAGUUAUCCCUGUGAAGAUCAAAACUCGGUUUGGAGUAGCAACAACCAGAGCAUCAGCUUCUAUCUUUGCAUCUGGUGUGUUUAUGUCUUGACCAUGCGUCUUGUCUGGUUUCAGUUUUUUGGUUUUUUUUUUUAAUUGAGUUUUUUUCCCUGUUUUCCUGGCAUCUCGUUUACAGUUUUUGUCUGAAGUUUGUUUUCUCUCGUUUUUCCCAUCCCCUAGACUUAGUCUUCUUGUUAAAUAUAUGUAGAUCUGAAAUAUUAGUAUAAAGAAACAAGUCCUGUCUACAAGGCGUAUCUCACAACACUUUGAGAACAAACCAUUGUCCUUGAGUUACUUGACCAAACUAUACCAGGGCAGCCAGAGGGAGAGAGGGAAGGCCACCUGCAGAGCCCUGCACUGUUGAAGGUGGCCAAGGGGUCACAAAGUGUGUGUCCUGUGUUUCCUCCCUCUCCCUGUGAGCUUGGCUGUGCACACAUCAGCAUCUGUCGGCUUUGUCAGGGGGUGGCAAAUAAGAUCACUCUCAUCGCCCAGCUCCCUGCGUGGAUUCAAAACUGUACCAACAGCUGAACACACUUUGGUGAUCCGCACCAAAGUGGAUCAUGGAAUUUGCAUCUGGCUUCCGACCCUCAGACACUUGAAAUUUUUAGAAGUACCAUGAUGGCUUCAAAUGUUUGGGACCAGAACUGUUUUUUAUAAGACAUUAGACUAUUGGUGAACACAUAAUGAGGUAUCUCGGGAGAGAGGAUGCAAGUCUAAACAUGAAGUCCAUUUAUGUUUUAUAUAUACCCUGUCCACAGGAAGACAAUGUCUGCAAUACCAAUUGUAAGCCAUCCCAAGAGUUCAGGCGUGGGAUUGACGGCUGGCGUCAUGGCGCUGUACAAGAGGUUUUAGAUUCCGGAGCAGUUUAGGCUUGAGGUUCUUGAGAAGGCUCCGCCUGUUUCCAUCUCUGUACUUAUCCGUGCUCCUCGAACCACUUGCUCUCGCUGGUGGCAGGCCUGUGAUCCCAUCCUGUGUUCAAAGUCUGAAUAUACGAAAUUCAAUCAC
rnacentral:lncRNA from 1 species